rnacentral:rRNA from 1 species
CCCUUUGUACACACCGCCCGUCGCUACUACCGAUUGAAUGGCUCAGUGAGGCUUUCGGACUGGCCCAGAGAGGUCGGCAACGACCACUCAGGGCCGGAAAGUUAUCCAAACUCGGUCAUUUAGAGGAAGUAAAAGUCGUAACAAGGUCUCCGUUGGUGAACCAGCGGAGGGAUCAUUA